GAUAAGGAGCUUGCUCCUUUGAAGUUAGCGGCGGACGGGUGAGUAACACGUGGGUAACCUACCUAUAAGACUGGGAUAACUUCGGGAAACCGGAGCUAAUACCGGAUAACAUUUAGAACCGCAUGGUUCUAAAGUGAAAGAUGGUUUUGCUAUCACUUAUAGAUGGACCCGCGCCGUAUUAGCUAGUUGGUAAGGUAACGGCUUACCAAGGCGACGAUACGUAGCCGACCUGAGAGGGUGAUCGGCCACACUGGAACUGAGACACGGUCCAGACUCCUACGGGAGGCAGCAGUAGGGAAUCUUCCGCAAUGGGCGAAAGCCUGACGGAGCAACGCCGCGUGAGUGAUGAAGGGUUUCGGCUCGUAAAACUCUGUUAUUAGGGAAGAACAAAUGUGUAAGUAACUGUGCACAUCUUGACGGUACCUAAUCAGAAAGCCACGGCUAACUACGUGCCAGCAGCCGCGGUAAUACGUAGGUGGCAAGCGUUAUCCGGAAUUAUUGGGCGUAAAGCGCGCGUAGGCGGUUUCUUAAGUCUGAUGUGAAAGCCCACGGCUCAACCGUGGAGGGUCAUUGGAAACUGGGAAACUUGAGUGCAGAAGAGGAAAGUGGAAUUCCAUGUGUAGCGGUGAAAUGCGCAGAGAUAUGGAGGAACACCAGUGGCGAAGGCGACUUUCUGGUCUGUAACUGACGCUGAUGUGCGAAAGCGUGGGGAUCAAACAGGAUUAGAUACCCUGGUAGUCCACGCCGUAAACGAUGAGUGCUAAGUGUUAGGG
rnacentral:rRNA from 1 species